rnacentral:rRNA from 1 species
GACGAACGCUGGCGGCAUGCCUAAUACAUGCAAGUCGAGCGAACAGAUGAAGUGCUUGCACUUCUGACGUUAGCGGCGAACGGGUGAGUAACACGUAAGGAAUCUACCUAUAAGCGGGGAUAACAUUCGGAAACGGGUGCUAAUACCGCAUAAUAUCUUCUUCCGCAUGGAAGAAGAUUGAAAGACGGCUCUGCUGUCCCUUAUAGAGGACCUUGCGGUGCAUUAGUUAGUUGGUGGGGUAACGGCCUACCAAGACGAUGAGGCAUAGCCGACCUGAGAGGGUGAUCGGCCACAUUGGGACUGAGACACGGCCUAAACUCCUACGGGAGGCAGAAGUAGGGAAUCUUCCGCAAUGGGCGAAAGCCUGACGGAGCAAUGCCGCGUGAGUGAAGAAGGCCUUCGGGUCGUAAAACUCUGUUAUAAGAGAAGAACAAAUUGUAGAGUAACUGCUACAGUCUUGACGGUAUCUUAUCAGAAAGCCACGGCUAACUACGUGCCAGCAGCCGCGGUAA